GACGAACGCUGGCGGCGUGCCUAAUACAUGCAAGUAGAACGCAGUUGCGAACGGGUGAGUAACGCGUAGGUAACUGCCUGGUAGCUGGGGAUAACUAUUGGAAACGAUAGCUAAUACCGCAUACUACCAGAUGGACCUGCUGUGUAUUAGCUAGUUGGUUCGGUAACGGCUCACCAAGGCAACGAUCCAUAGCCGUACUGGGAGGGGGAUCGGCCACACUGGGACUGAGACAGGGCCCAGACUCCUCAGGGAGGCAGCAGUAGGGAAUCUUCGGCAAUGGGGGGAAGCCUGACCGAGCAACGCCGCGUGAGUGAAGAAGGUUUUCGGAUCGUAAAGCUCGGUUGUUAAGGAAGCGGUACUUAACCAGAAAGGGACGGCUAACUACGUGCCAGCAGCCGCGGUAAUUG
rnacentral:rRNA from 1 species